rnacentral:rRNA from 1 species
ACUCAAUAGAUACCCCGGUAGUCCUAGCUGUAAACGGUGCACGUUUGGUGUGGGAGGCAACCCCUUCCGUGCCGAAAGCUAAACGCGAUAAAAACGUGCCGCCUGGGUAGUACGGUCGCAAGACUAAAACUCAAAGAAAUUGACGGGACCCGCACAAGCGGUGGAGUAUGUGGCUUAAUUCGAUGCAACGCGAAGAACCUUACCAGGGCUUGACAUGUAUUGUAACCCCGGUGAAAGCCGGGCAGCAUGGAAACAUGCGCUUUACACAGGUGCUGCAUGGCUGUCGUCAGCUCGUGUCGUGAGAUGUUGGGUUAAGUCCCGCAACGAGCGCAACCCUUAUGAUUUGUUGCCACCGGUUCAUUCCGAGCACUCAAAUCAGACUGCCCAGAUUAACUGGGAGGAAGGUGGGGAUGACGUCAAGUCCGUAUGGCCCUUACGUCCUGGGCUGCACACGUACUACAAUGUCCAGUACAAAUUGAACCGAGGCCGCAAGGUGGAGGAAAUCAAUAAAACUGGGCUCAGUUCAGAUUGCAGGCUGC